rnacentral:lncRNA from 1 species
AUGUGUGUGUGUGUGUGCGCGCGCGCGCGUGUGUGCAAUGUUAGUGACAGUCAGACAGGGAGAUUAUCCGGAUCAUGGCCUCCUUGGCUCGGCUGGUUAAUGCAGCCGCCGCUGUUGCAGCAGCCACUCACUCUUAACGAGCUCCAUUUCUCCCCUUCUCACUCACUUGAUUUCCCCAUCCCACCAGCACCCCUGCCGCUGACCCUGAAAGGGAUAGCUCGCGGCACCCUCAGCUUCCACUGCCCUAGAAAAAAAGGUGUGUGUGGGGGGGAGUGCAACCAAACCUUCUCCUCCUCCCCCCCCCCACCCCUCUGUCCUCCUUCUCUUCUUCGUCGUCGUAGUCCUCCUCUCCCCACCUCCACCCGCCCAGCUUCGGAGCUCCGGCCGGACACACUCAACUUCAGCAUUCAACACUCGGUGGCGGCCGUAGCGGCGCCCGCAGCCGGGGCACCCAAGCAGUUGCUGCUGCCGCCCCAUGCAUGCCCCCUCCAGACACAUGCACCAAACGAUCCUCCGUUGCUCCUGCCAGGCAGGCACUGGGGUGGGCACUCGCUGGUACACAGAGAAGAUAGGGGGAAGGAGAGCACCGGGUGCUAUUCUGCAACCCUCUGUUCAACCCUCCUCUCCACCUACCCCCACAUACCAUACAAGUCCACCGGUCUGUCACCGUUGGAAGAAAGGGGGGAAAGGACUUAUGAAGGAUUUUUAUGUGGGUGGCAUGCACUAUGAAACAAGGAAAAGCAAAAUUCAGCAAUUGAUGUGAAGAAUGGACAUGAUGGUUACUUUUGUUUUAGAGAGAAUCUCACAGAAGCAGAUGUGGUUGGAGGCUGAAAGGACUCCAGGAUGUCCAAUGGGAUGUUAAAUUUACAUUAAGCUUUUCCUUCUGGACUUUGAUGAGUCAUUAUUUGGUCUCUGAAGCAGCAGUGUGUUUUUUUUUUCUUUUUAGUUUAGAAGCAAGAGAUAGAGGCCACUUUCUCACGUCUUUAUGGACACAUUCAUUUGUUUAAGUCCAAGUAUAUUAUUAUAAGUUCUUCAAAGAAUAAUUGAUGGUUUAAAAAUUGGUCACAGUUAUAAAGAAAAAGCAUAUACAUACAUAUAUAUCUUCAACAUACAUUUCUAGGCUAAAAGAGGAAAUUAUUAGUCUGAUUAAAAUGUUGUAUAACUAUGAAAAAGAAGUAAAUAUGGUUACUUAAUGAAUGAACGCUAUAUUGACUAUAGAAAUAGAUACUAUAGCUAUAGACUAGAGGAGAAACUAAAUUGGGUCAGCUGCCAUUAAAUUUUAGAGUUGACACUUAAUGCUGCAAUAUCCUAACAAAAAAGUAAUCAUCAAAAUUACAGUUAACCAAGUUUUCAAAAGGAUUUUGUCAGUGUUGAUAAUGAUGUCAAUGACCAACACUAUAAACCAUCACAUUUAAAAAAAAUAUAAAUAUUUUUGAGUGGUCGACUUUAGUGUGGAUAUUUGACAGAAAGUAGUGUUCAAAGGUUUCUAGAGGCAUUCCAGAUGGUAAUUAAAAAAAUAGAUUAGGCUUAUUUCUACAAAUCAAUUUUGCAGAAGAGAAUGGAGAUUUAUAUAAUAAUAUUUUAAUAUAAUGAUUAUACAUCUUCUCAUGGACAACCCAGAAGCGUCAACAAUAAUGAUAAUAAUUUAGUAGACCUCUAUUUCCUUUCUCCUUUUAACUUAUGACUCAUUAGUGUAAGGAACAGAUCUCCUUUGAUUUAUAUAUACUUGGAGAG